rnacentral:rRNA from 1 species
AGUGAACGCUGGCGGUAGGCCUAACACAUGCAAGUCGAACGGCAGCACAGUAAGAGCUUGCUCUUACGGGUGGCGAGUGGCGGACGGGUGAGGAAUACAUCGGAAUCUACUUUUUCGUGGGGGAUAACGUAGGGAAACUUACGCUAAUACCGCAUACGACCUACGGGUGAAAGCAGGGGAUCUUCGGACCUUGCGCGAUUGAAUGAGCCGAUGUCGGAUUAGCUAGUUGGCGGGGUAAAGGCCCACCAAGGCGACGAUCCUUAGCUGGUCUGAGAGGAUGAUCAGCCACACUUGAACUGAGACACGGUCCAGACUCCUACGGGAGGCAGCAGUGGGGAAUAUUGGACAAUGGGCGCAAGCCUGAUCCAGCCAUACCGCGUGGGUGAAGAAGGCCUUCGGGUUGUAAAGCCCUUUUGUUGGGAAAGAAAAGCAGCAGGUUAAUACCCCGCUGUUCUGACGGUACCCAAAGAAUAAGCACCGGCUAACUUCGUG